GACUUCAGGUAGUCUCGGUCUUAGCGGAUUCCGCGGACUUUCUUGUCUUUCUGCGUACUGCACUAACUGAGCGACCAAUUGAUACCUAAGUUUAGCUGAACUUUUUGUUGAAUUAAUUAAAACUGUUUUGAAAUCUAUUCUGUAAGAGCCUGAGAAAAAUUGCGGCCACAGAAGCUGUUUUGAAAUGCGCUUGGCUUCCGACUUCCGCAAGGGGAGGCAGCUGUUUCUUGUAGUCUUGCUCUGUCACCUACACUGGAAUUCAGUGGCACAGUCUCAGCUCAGCUCACUGCAACCUCCACCUCCCGGGUUCAAGUGAUUCUCAUACCUCAGCCUCCUGAGUAGCUGGGAUUACA
rnacentral:lncRNA from 1 species